rnacentral:misc_RNA from 1 species
GAUGAAGAACGCAGCGAAAUGCGAUAAGUAAUGCGAAUUGCAGAAUCCGUGAGUCAUCGAAUCUUUGAACGCACAUUGCGCCCUUUGGUAUUCCAAAGGGCAUGCCUGUUCGAGCGUCAUUUGUACCCUCAAGCUUUGCUUGGUGUUGGGCGUCUUGUCUCUAGCUUUGCUGGAGACUCGCCUUAAAGUAAUUGGCAGCCGGCCUACUGGUUUCGGAGCGCAGCACAAGUCGCACUCUCUAUCAGCAAAGGUCUAGCAUCCAUUAAGCCUUUUUUUCAACUUUUGACCUCGGAUCAGGUAGGGAUACCCGCUGAACUUAAGCAUAUCAAUAAGCGGAGGA